UGUGACCCUACCUCUGUAGCGCAGUCAGAAUGAAACAAGAUGAGUAGAACAAGGAGACCCAGCCCUUGAAGUCCAUGACCUAAAAUACAGAAGAAAUGCAUGGGGAGUAGCAGAAAGCCUGAUCCAGUUGCCAUGAAGUCAAGGCAGAUUUCCCACCGACUCAGAGAAAUUCUCAUCAGCAUGGAAGUCCAGAUGAGAUUCUUCCCAAGUAUGUUGAUGACACACCUUGAGUCCAGAAGACCAGUGUGUCUCUAAGCAGAGCAAACCAGGAAGGUACAGCAUCAAUCUGGGAAACCAGUGGAAUGAAGCAGCCAUGCAAGCAGGAUUUUCAGAAGAGCAAGAUCUUCCUCAAGAAACAAUGACAUCUAUUUGCAAAACAGAAAACUGUGGCACAGAGAGAAGCAGCCCUGCAUGGAAAUGUCUGGAGAUCUGACCCUGACCUCCAAAGUUCCAGCCAGGCGCUCUCACACUGAACCAUGCUGUACUGCAGUGGAAGGAAACCUAUGUCUUGCCAUGAUUGCUUUGCACGCCUACACCAAAAAUUGAUGUUCCUGAGUUUUCAAGCAUGGCUGCAUGCUGCAGAACUCCAUCAAUUAUUGUUUCCAGUGAGUGGGAAUAAAAAACAGUUCUUGCUACAUGAGUGACCACAACGCAUAUCUUGUCAGCAGCUGCGUAUUGCAGCAUCAGAAGCAUUAGCAUGAAUCCCCACAGCUAUCCUGUACAUCUUGAUUAAAGUCAAUGGGAGUUUCAGAUCUGUUAUUAAAUGCUCAAUUACGCUGUGCAAGCAACAACAGAAACAAAUUGAUAAGAAUAUGGUAGAAGACAAUAGUCUGAGCAAAGGACGCCACUAAAAUGUGUUCAUGAAGAGAGCCUGGAGUGACUGAAUAAUGAACAAAUUUGCAAAAAAUCGAAAUCUGUUUGCAGGUGAAUAACAAACAGAGGAAAGGGCAGAAUUGGUUCAAUGAAUUAUGCAUUAUGAAUCUUUUAACAAGCGCUGAUAUCUAUAAAGAUAAUGAUUCUAAUGUAAAUAACAAGCCUUUAAUAUUUAUGCAGCAUUAAUAGUCUGGAGAG